rnacentral:rRNA from 1 species
UUUAUGGAGAGUUUGAUCCUGGCUCAGGAUGAACGCUGGCGGCGUGCCUAAUACAUGCAAGUCGAGCGAACGGACGAGAAGCUUGCUUCUCUGAUAUUAGCGGCGGACGGGUGAGUAACACGUGGAUAACCUACCUAUAAGACUGGGAUAACUUCGGGAAACCG